UUGAGCAUAAAUCAUCAUAUCUGAGGUCCUGAAUUGUAUAUUUACUUAUUCUGUUGGAUUUCUUACACUUUUAGUACCUAAAAACCUGAAAUGAGAGCACUCGGACAAUGUGAAGUUUAAUUGUCGCAUAGAUGGAGAUUGACCGCCUUUGUACAUAUAUGUCUACAGCUUCUCAGAUUUGACCGAAGACAGUUGUUCGGUGUUGUGAAUGGGUGUUGUUCGGCUGAAGGCCUUCCAGUCACACAGCCUUUCAGUCACACAGAAGAUCCUGGUUCGGUCACACGAAGGGUCACUUCCAUUGGUAUUAGUCACUGGAAAAACUAGGAGCACCAGUUGUAGUUUCUCAGAGUGGAGAAUUGAAACUGGCAGACUUUGGUUUGGCAAGGGCUUUUGGUAUUCCAGUUAGAUUUUUUUCAGCAGAGAAAUGCUGGAAGACCAUUGUUUCCAGGAAAUGAUGUUGAAGACCAACUGAAGAGAAUUUUUGAAUUACUGGGUACACCUACUGAAGACACUUGGCCUAAUAUCACACAUCUUCCAGAUUAUAAACAAUAUCCCAUGUAUCAUGUGAGCACAACAUGGCAACAAGUGGUACCCAGACUGAAUAUCAAGGGUAGAGAUCUAUUACAGAGAUUAUUGGUAUGCAAUCCCGUUGGCAGACUAUCAGCGGAGGAAGGAUUACAGCACGGAUAUUUCAGUGAUCUUAGUCCAUCAAUCAAGUUUCCUACUGAUCCUUUCUGAGUGAACAUUCCAAACUCCAAGGACAAAGCCAUCUUAGUUGUUGUAAAUUGUGGUUUUAUAUUGUGCCAUUCAUUUUCAAAUCAACCGUCAGAGGUAGAAACACCUAUUCUUACCAGUUUCUUAAAGUCAUCUGAAAGCAUGUACCAUCAUGUGAAUCUAAGAGGACCAAGUUUGUUGAUACACUAACAGUAUGGUAGAGGUAUAUAGGCUACAGAAUGGUAAUGGUAUGGUGAGGCUUAUAAAAGAACUUGAAGUGUAGCAGCAGAUAAUGAGAUUCCACAACUGGAUAUGGGUUUGCUGAUGCUGAAGAAUUUUACGACUUUUCAAAAUUUACUUUCAGUUUUUCUGGAUUAUAGUAUUAUUGUAUUAGAAGCAUUCCAUUGAAUAGAGAGGGAAGUAAAAUCAUUUAAGGUGAAGAAGGUGUAAUUCAGCGACGUCUGGCGGAACGCCAAACGUUACGCUUCGCAACGUCACGUCAUUACACUCUAUUAAGAAAUAAAAUGGCGUCAAGCAAUGCGGGAGGGGGAUACAAUGUACGUUUCUUUUUUUUUUUUUUUUUUUGGUUUUAUCUUCUUAUUCAUUCUCGGCUGGAUUAUCUUGGUGGUUAAAGGUACCAAAUAAAGACGAAUAAAAAAAAAUAAAUCUUUAAAAAAAUGACUAGUCUACACAUUUUGAAAUAUACUUCUAAGCGUUACAAUAGCGGUGCAAAAUUCGUUUGAAGUCAAAACAUGUGCAGAAAAAUGAUUUUUUUUUAUAUUUUCUUUGGCUGACAUGGGUGUUUUUUUUGACUUACUUUCAUGUUUAUUGCUUUUCCAUAAUCGGGGAUAACGUGAUUUUAAAAUUUAUUCAAACGAAUAUCCCGUUUAAAGAUGUACCACUUGCACAAAAUAACUGUAUUUUUUGCAUUUCCUUGAUGGUAAUUAUACUUGAUUUGCAUGUACAAUAUUUUUAGUUUCAAAAUGACAGUGUCAUAUAUAAGGUCUAUAUUCUUAAUACUAUGCUGAAAAAAAGAUUAACUGAACACAAGUGCGUAUGAAGUUUUGAAAACAUUUUUUUCUGAAGGGCCUAAAUUGUCACCCCGAAAACUUGUAGUGUAGCUGUUUACUACCUGUAUUAUUAUUAAUGAUUUUCAUGAAGUUUUUGUGAGUUAAAAAAUGUUGAAUUCUCUAAGGCUAUGUUUGUAAACAUUAUCGUUGGUGUUUGUAUCUAUUCAUAAAUUAUAGCCUCGUUUCGGAGCAUUCUUCCCGGAAAAAAAAAACGAAGAUGCGUGACGGGUUCGUAAGCAGUCGGAAAACAUACUGAGGUGUCUUUUCGAUAUCAUAAUGGGUACAGGCUUGAGAAUUAUGAAAGGCAAAUCAAAAUUCUUAUAUAUUUUGAAGACUGCUGAUGUGUGUAAAUUUUAUUUAUCAAUCAGACAUUUUAUAUCAUUGCUGUAUAACAUACAGCCUUAACAGUUAUCAAACGCAUUGUCAUAAUAAAAAUGAAAAAUUAUGAAAAACUUGGAUAAAUUGUAGCAAAAGCAAGUAAACUGGCGGUCGCUCAGUCCCGAAUGUGUUACAACUUUGCAUGCUGCAUUUUAUUCCUACAUGGUUUCAUGUCUCUAUCAUUUUUUUUAAAUAAAUGUAACUAAAAUCUUGAAGCACUAAAUGAGAUACAUGCAACACAAUUUUAUAUAUAUUUUCGACUACGUCAAGGGCCAUAACAUCGGUCUGACUGUGUGAGAUCAAAUUAAAACAUUAUACACUCAAAUGUUAAUACUGAUAACAAUCCAGUGAGUUUGAUUACUCUGGGUCAAUACUUUUUAGAUAUGUCAGACACUAUUUCGGACUGACGGACGGACAGGCGAGGGGACAUUCAUUAAUUGCCCCUACGAAACAUAACUUGGAUAGGACGCAUAAAAAGAUAUAUUUCAUAUUGAUACAUUCUCUAUGCAAAGAAAUUUACCACCAGUUGCACCGUAUAUUAUACUUAAAACACAUCUUGAAAUAUGUUCUAACUUUCUUACAAAAAAAGUGUACUGCUUUCUUUUCACCACGGAAUACAAUGAAAAUUCAGAUUAUUUUCGACCGGAUAUUUGUAUAUGUACGUGUCUAUACACUGGCUUAAUUGUGUUUUGUCUGGCAAUUGUCCAAUCUAAGUAGGUAACUUGAAAAUUACAACAUAUAUUCACGUGAUAAAGACAACUAUGAAAUAUGAUUUGGAAAUACAAGAAUGAAAGUAUGUUUUAGAAAAUAUUAGAUAUUUUAAAACGGAAUGGCUAAAUAUCUAUUUGCAAACAGCAUACACAGUUUUAGUAAUAAGACGUCUGCGUAACGUCAGAAAAAGCGGGAAAAUGCGCAACAUCAAACGCUGCCCAUAGCGCCAUUUGAGACUUUAUCAUUUUUUGCGACUUUGUAGCUCGAAAACGAAUAUAAGUUUUUUAAAAAAUUCUAUGGACCAGUUUUUGCACACUACCUAGUCAUUCUGCACAAAAAUAAUAAUCUCAUAGAAAGAUUUUGGCAUGAUUUUUGCAUAAAAUAAGCAUUCCUUCAGCGAAAAGCGGGAGUAUUUGAAAAUUACAUCACCGUGUAGGUUUCGACUGGCAUAUUAUAUGAAAUGGAACAAAAAUAAAAUACUUUUUAAAUAAAAUGAAUGCCCCGAGGCUAAAUUAAUCGACAGGAAAACGGCAACGUCACAGCUAUUUCCAACUGGGCUUAAAGGUGAAUUUUCGACGUCAUUUGCGUAAAAAGUGUGCAUUUGAUCUUUUCAAUAAUUGCACAUCGGGUGAAGAUCAACUUUUGCUGUCAUCUACGUAUGUUAUCUAGGAUGUAAAUUGUUUCUGAAAAUCCCGCUCAUUACACCUUCUUCACCUUAAUAAGUUUUGAAGUUAGUGAACUGUGAUCACAGUUAUCCUAGAAUCUGACAUUCAGUUCUAAAAUAACUUUUCAGUUCGAGAAUGAUUGUAAGCCAGGCAUUUACACAAAUUUUACAUUAGACAUUUUAACUUUUAAAAGUGAAGAUGAAUUUUAUUAUUAUUGUUGUACUUCAGUAUUCAGAUGUCUCAAAUUUAUUUUUACAGAUAUAUUAAGGUUAACUUAAAAUACUGUUAAAGAGGUUUUAAUAGAGAUGAUGUUGUUUAUAAGCCAUCACAGAAGUGAGCCACGCCGUAAGAAAACCAACAUAGUGGCUUUGCGACCAGCACGGAUCCAGACCAGCCUGCGCAUUUAAAGAAUGAAUGAUCAUUUUGGGAAAUGAGACCCUGGCUGCUUAAGACAGGUUGGCUGCUAUCACUAAAGCAGCUAAAUCUGGUAUAAUAAAUUUACAGUAAAAUACAUGUAUUAUACAAUAUAUUGCAGUUUCACUGAAAAAAAGUCUUCUGUUUUUA
rnacentral:lncRNA from 1 species